CCUACGGGUGGCAGCAGUGGGGAAUAUUGCACAAUGGGGGAAACCCUGAUGCAGCGACGCCGCGUGAAGGAAGAAGUAUUUAGGUAUGUAAACUUCUAUCAGCAGGGAAGAAAAUGACGGUACCUGACUAAGAAGCCACGGCUAACUCCGUGCCAGCAGCCGCGGUACUACGGAGGGGGCAACGGUUAUCCGGAUUUACUGGGUGUAAAGGGGGCGUAGGCGGUUUAGCAAGUCAGAAGUGAAAGCCCGGGGCUCAACCACGGAACUGCUGUUGAAACUGUUGAACUUGAUUGCAGGAGAGGUAAGUGGAAUGCCUAGUGUAGCGGUGAAAUGCUUAGAUAUUAGGAAGAACCCCAGUGGCGAAGGCGGCUUAC
rnacentral:rRNA from 1 species